rnacentral:rRNA from 1 species
CUACGGAGGGUGCAAGCGUUACUCGGAAUCACUGGGCGUAAAGCGCGCGCAGGCGGGCUGAUAAGUUGGAUGUGAAAGCCUACGGCUCAACCGUAGAACUGCAUCCAAAACUGUCAGUCUAGAGUCUGGGAGGGGAAGAUGGAAUUAGUUGUGUAGGGGUAAAAUCCGUAGAGAUAACUAGGAAUACCAAAAGCGAAGGCGAUCUUCUGGAACAGUACUGACGCUGAGGCGCGAAAGCGUGGGGAGCAAACAGGAUUAGAAACCCUAGUAGUCC